rnacentral:lncRNA from 1 species
GGGGUUCGGAGCGGCGCCGGCACAGCGAAGGCGGCGGGCGAGCGACGGCGACGGCGACGGCGGGCACAGAUCAAUUAAAAGAAGAAUGAACUGUAAUCCCUGAAGAUAAACUGGGCAGCUUUUUUACUUAGUGUAUGUAUAUUGCUAAUUAUAAAAGUUCAGGUGGAGCCAGGCUCCUGCUGUGUGGAGAUUUAGACAAGUCUUCAGUUUGUCAGCACAGAGCCACAGACCACCAUUUUCAGUGAGGAUACCUGCCUCUUCUUUUUUGGUGUUCUUGGCAAAAACUAAAACCAUUGCAUCAUUGUAACUCGUGUUUGGGUGUAGUUUCAGGAUACAGUCAUGGCAUAAACUUUCCACAUGCUUUGCUUAAAGAACAAAACCAA